GUUAUUACUGAUGAUGAACUGAUAAACUACAUAUUAGAUGGACUUGAUUUCGAAUAUGAUGCAGUAGUAGUAAAUGUUACCACUGGACUCGAAUCCAUAAUUGAUC